GUGAGACCCUGUCUCUAAAUAAAUAAUGUAAUUGCGGGAGCAAGACCCCGUCUCUAAAUCAAUGAAUGAAAGUAAUUGCACUAUGACGUGAGGAUGGAUCCAAUGUCAUCAGCUCCGUUACAAUUUUCUGGGACCACCAUCGUAUAUGCAGUUGUUGACUGGAACGUUGCUAUGUGGCACACGUCCGUCCUUUCUGAUGCAGCACUUACCGCGUGGUGACACUGCUCUAAGUGCUUGACAGAUAGUGU
rnacentral:lncRNA from 1 species